UCUGGNUUAACUGGGGGCUUGCGGUGGGUACGGGCCGGCUUGAGUGCGGUAGGGGAGGCUGGAACUCCUGGUGUAGCGGUGGAAUGCGCAGAUAUCAGGAAGAACACCGGUGGCGAAGGCGGGUCUCUGGGCCGUUACUGACGCUGAGGAGCGAAAGCGUGGGGAGCGAACAGGAUUAGAUACCCUGAUAGUCCACGCCGUAAACGUUGGGCACUAGGUGUGGGGGGCCUUUUCCGGGUCUUCCGCGCCGUAGCUAACGCAUUAAGUGCCCCGCCUGGGGAGUACGGCCGCAAGGCUAAAACUCAAAGGAAUUGACGGGGGCCCGCACAAGCGGCGGAGCAUGCGGAUUAAUUCGAUGCAACGCGAAGAACCUUACCAAGGCUUGACAUGUGCCGGUCGGCUCCGGAGACGGGGCUUCCUCCUUGUGGGGCCGGUUCACAGGUGGUGCAUGGUUGUCGUCAGCUCGUGUCGUGAGAUGUUGGGUUAAGUCCCGCAACGAGCGCAACCCUCGUCCCGUGUUGCCAGCACGUUGUGGUGGGGACUCGCGGGAGACUGCCGGGGUCAACUCGGAGGAAGGUGGGGAUGACGUCAAAUCAUCAUGCCCCUUAUGUCUUGGGCUUCACGCAUGCUACAAUGGCCGGUACAGAGGGCUGCGAUACCGUGAGGUGGAGCGAAUCCCUUAAAGCCGGUCUCAGUUCGGAUCGGUGUCUGCAACUCGACACCGUGAAGUUGGAGUCGCUAGUAAUCGCAGAUCAGCAACGCUGCGGUGAAUACGUUCUCGGGCCUUGUACACACCGCCCGUCACGUCAUGAAAGUCGGCAACACCCGAAGCCCGUGGCCCUACGGG
rnacentral:rRNA from 1 species